AACGAACGCUGGCGGCAGGCUUAACACAUGCAAGUCGAACGGGUGUAGCAAUACAUCAGUGGCAGACGGGUGAGUAACACGUGGGAACCUUCCUAGGGGUACGGAACAACUCAGGGAAACUUGAGCUAAUACCGUAUACGUCCGUAAGGAGAAAGAUUCAUCGCCCCUAGACGGGCCCGCGUCGGAUUAGGUAGUUGGUGGGGUAACGGCCUACCAAGCCUACGAUCCGUAGCUGAUCUGAGAGGAUGAUCAGCCACACUGGGACUGAGACACGGCCCAGACUCCUACGGGAGGCAGCAGUGGGGAAUCUUGGACAAUGGGCGCAAGCCUGAUCCAGCCAUGCCGCGUGAGUGAUGAAGGCCUUAGGGUUGUAAAGCUCUUUUGCCCGGGAAGAUAAUGACGGUACCGGGAGAAUAAGCCCCGGCUAACUUCGUGCCAGCCGCCGCCGUAAG
rnacentral:rRNA from 1 species